UACGUAGGUCGCAAGCGUUGUCCGGAUUUACUGGGCGUAAAGAGCGCGCAGGCGGCUGGUCAAGUCCGAUGUGAAAUCUCCCGGCUCAACUGGGAAACUGCAUCGGAAACUGAUCGGCUUGGAGAUGGGAGAGGGUAGUGGAAUUCCCGGUGUAGUGGUGAAAUGCGUAGAUAUCGGGAGGAACACCUAUGGCGAAGGCAGCUCGCUGGGACGUUACUGACGCUGAGACGCGAAAGCGUGGGGAGCAAACAGG
rnacentral:rRNA from 1 species